rnacentral:rRNA from 1 species
UGGGGAAUAUUGGACAAUGGGCGCAAGCCUGAUCCAGCCAUGCCGCGUGAGUGAUGAAGGCCCUAGGGUUGUAAAGCUCUUUCACCGGUGAAGAUAAUGACGGUAACCGGAGAAGAAGCCCCGGCUAACUUCGUGCCAGCAGCCGCGGUAAUACGAAGGGUGCUAGCGUUGUUCGGAUUUACUGGGCGUAAAGCGCACGUAGGCGGACUUUUAAGUCAGGGGUGAAAUCCCGGGGCUCAACCCCGGAACUGCCUUUGAUACUGGAAGUCUUGAGUAUGGUAGAGGUGAGUGGAAUUCCGAGUGUAGAGGUGAAAUUCGUAGAUAUUCGGAGGAACACCAGUGGCGAAGGCGGCUCACUGGACCAUUACUGACGCUGAGGUGCGAAAGCGUGGGGAGCAAACAGG